rnacentral:rRNA from 1 species
GACAGAGGUGCCGAGCGUUAGGCGGAAUCACUGGGCUUAAAGCGUGUGUAGGCGGACCGUUAAGUGUCUUGUGAAAUCCCACGGCUCAACCGUGGAACGGCUGGGCAUACUGGCGGUCUUGAGCGGUCCAGGGGCGAGCGGAACAAGCGGUGGAGCGGUGAAAUGCGUAGAUAUCAGGAGGAACACCGGUGGCGAAGGCGGCUCUCUGGACCACAACUGACGCUGAGGCGCGAAAGCUAGGGGAGCAAACAGG